rnacentral:rRNA from 1 species
UACGGAGGGUGCAAGCGUUUAUCCGGAUUCACUGGGUUUAAAGGGUGCGUAGGUGGGCUUGUAAGUCAGUGGUGAAAUCUCCGUGCUUAACAUGGAAACUGCCAUUGAUACUAUGGGUCUUGAAUUAUCUGGAGGUUAGCGGAAUAUGUCAUGUAGCGGUGAAAUGCUUAGAUAUGACAUAGAACACCAAUUGCGAAGGCAGCUGGCUACAGGUACAUUGACACUGAGGCACGAAAGCGUGGGGAUCAAACAGG